GAAGCAAGCCAGUAAGCAGCACCCCUCCAUGGCCUCUGCAUCAGCUCCUUCCUCCAGGUUCCAUCCCUGCUUGAGUUUCUGUCCUGCACCUUCAAUAAUGGACUACAGUGUGGAAGUGUAAGCCAGAGAAACUUGUUCAAGCUCUCUAACUUUUGGUCAUGGUGUUUUAUCAUAGCAAUAGUAUCCAUAAGAUAAGUUGGUACCAGGAUAGUGGAGUAUUUUGCUGAGACAAAAAGAUGUUGGUCAGCUGAAGCCAAGAAAUUGCCAGAGAUUAAGAAGAGACCAGCAUCACCGAGGUGCAAUCUUCUGGGAAGUGUUUAUACAACAUCAGCACACAGAAGUUGUGCUCCAGAGUCAGCCAAGGUUGCAUCUUGUGCUGGCAGCUAGACUUGGUAGCAUAAGAGUCACCCAGACGGUACUGGCUUUGAAGGGCUAAAGAGGUCAUGGAGAACAGCUGAGGCUUGGCAUCGUGAAAGGCCACAAUGGGCACUGGAGUAGGUGGUGUCUCCGUGUCAAAGCUCCAGAAUUAAAAGGUCAUGAAGAGAAGUUGAGGCUUGGCACCAUGAACCUAAGAGAGGCUGUUGGUGAAAGCAGAGCCCAGUUGCAGCAGAAGACCCCAGCAUUUUGGAGAUGCCAGUAUCGUAGGACAACCACCAAGACAGCAGCAGUGGUGGAGUGGAGCCGGCUCGAGCCUAGAAAACAAGCCAGGUACUCGGUGACUACUUCUCAUACAAGCUACAGGAGCUGCCUCUGCUGUGCUUGGUGCUGCAGGCUGGUGACCAGGAGCAGAGGGAAGCAAGGGUAUGUAAACAUGAAGGCUUCCAGGAGAAAGCUCUCAUCCUGCCAGCUGGAGGAGCGCUUGGACAUGGUUUACCCAAACAGUCAUUGCCAUGGAGACAAGGAAGUCUGAAGUGCUGUUGCCAGCAGCAUCCAGCAUGGCUCCAAUGUGGGAAAAGACUUGGCUUCAUGGGUCCUCAGAGAGACGAUCUGAAACUCACCGAGAGCGGGGAGCUGGAGCUGAGGGGCUGGCGGACUCUCUCAGCCCAAGCACAGCCAAGCCUCAUGCAGCUGCCCAAUUCUGGAUCCCUGGGCCAGCCUCUCGCAGCAGGGGGUAGAGAGGCCAAGCAUUUUUGGUUAAGCAGGCCACAGCCAAGUUGCUCAUUAAAAAAAAAAAAAAAAAAAAAAGUCUAGGACAAAGGGCCUCUCUGCAGGCUGGUGUACUUGAUCCUGAAAAUGGCUUCUCAGACAGAACUGGGUCCCACUUCUCUAAGCUUGGAAGAGUCAAGGUAAGGCUGAAGCAGGAUGCCAGUUGGAACGUGGAUUCCUGUUAUACCAAAAAACAAAACAGAGCCUUCCUGGAGACCAAAGAGGGUGUAGUUUCUAGGAGUUGGUGACAGAUCAGAAAACCAAAAUGUCCCCAGUGAUCUACCAUUGUAAUCAGAGUGGUUAGGGACACAACCUAGCAUCUCUAACAAGUUAGAUUCAGUGACCCAUCCUCAACAAACCAAUUUAAGAAACAAGUCAUCAUAAAACCAUAAAAGAGAUGUACUCAAUGUGAUUCUAUUGGAAAGAGGAACGAAGAGGUCUGGUGGUCCCAAGUCCAUCAGAGCUCCAGCCUGAGCUGUACACACAGAGGGCAGGAAGGGUAAGCAUAACGCUGGCCAUCCUUGAGCUCUCACUGUCUGAGCUCCAGUCUCCUUCAAAGUGGUCUGAUGAGUUGUCAACACUGUGAAAUCUGUGGGAGUCAAUUUCCACUCUGGCUGCAGAGAUUAGACUCAACAGAAAGAUUGCUGAGAUUUGUGCCCUGCUCAAAGUAUCUUUAUGCUUUGUAAAACACUUUUUCAAAUUGUUCCUUUCUCCAAGAGACUCCCAGUUUACACACAGCUUAUGACACCAUUUUGAAAAUGGAAUCUGGCUGUGAACUUGGGCAGACAGGUGAAUGGUACCAUCUUUCUGGUGCUGCUGAUGUAGUAGAAACUGGCAAAUCCCUUGUCCCUGGGAGUAGAAAGAGUGCCGCUCUAUAAACUGAAUGGGGUUUGUCAGGGCUGUGAUGCCAAAGCCCAGCCUCAGCUUGGUCAGGAGUCCUGAAGAAGGGCAGAAAGAACUCAAAUUGUCGGUGCAAGCUGACAGCCUCAUAGUCUGCUCGAGAGGGCUCCCUGGACAGCUUACUGUAGAUAGCUUUUGGCUCUGUUGUCUGCUCGGGACAGCUCUCUGCAUGAGACGGCUCUCUCUACUCUAGAAGCUCUCUGGGUAGCUCAUAAGUUUUCCGACCAAAGUCAGAAAAGCUGCU
rnacentral:lncRNA from 1 species